CAGCGACAAUGUCGAUUUGGAGGUUGUGCCCUUGAGGCGUGGCUUCCGGAGCUAACGCGUUAAAUCGACCGCCUGGGGAGUACGGCCGCAAGGUUAAAACUCAAAUGAAUUGACGGGGGCCCGCACAAGCGGUGGAGCAUGUGGUUUAAUUCGAUGCAACGCGAAGAACCUUACCUGGUCUUGACAUCCACAGAACUUUCCAGAGAUGGAUUGGUGCCUUCGGGAACUGUGAGACAGGUGCUGCAUGGCUGUCGUCAGCUCGUGUUGUGAAAUGUUGGGUUAAGUCCCGCAACGAGCGCAACCCUUAUCCUUUGUUGCCAGCGGUCAGGCCGGGAACUCAAAGGAGACUGCCAGUGAUAAACUGGAGGAAGGUGGGGAUGACGUCAAGUCAUCAUGGCCCUUACGACCAGGGCUACACACGUGCUACAAUGGCGCAUACAAAGAGAAGCGACCUCGCGAGAGCAAGCGGACCUCAUAAAGUGCGUCGUAGUCCGGAUUGGAGUCUGCAACUCGACUCCAUGAAGUCGGAAUCGCUAGUAAUCGUAGAUCAGAAUGCUACGGUGAAUACGUUCCCGGGCCUUGUACACACCGCCCGUCACACCAUGGGAGUGGGUUGCAAAAGAAGUAGGUAGCUUAACCUUCGGGAGGGCGCUUACCACUUUGUGAUUCAUGACUGGGGUGAAGUCGUAAAAGGGUAACCAAACGGGGACGACAACCGGUCUUUCGGGAUGCUCCACGGUUGGUCCGAGGGGGGCCC
rnacentral:rRNA from 1 species